rnacentral:rRNA from 1 species
CCUACGGGAGUCAGCAGUGGUGAAUAUUGCACCAUGGGGGAAACCCUGAUGCAGCGAUGCCGCGUGGAGGAAGCAGGUUUUCGGAUUGUAAACUCCUUUUAUCAGGGACGAUAAUGACGGUACCCCAAUAGCAAGCCACGGCUAACUACGUGCCAGCAGCCGCGGUAAUACGUAGGUGGCAAGCGUUAUCCGGAAUGACUGGGCGUAAAGGGUGCGGAGGUGGUUUAGUAAGUUGGCGGUGUAAUUCCGGGGCUCAAGCUCGGCGCUACCGCCAAAACUAUUAGACUAGAGUGCAGGAGGGGUAAGUGGAAUUCCUAGUGGAGCGGGGGAAAGAGUAGAUAUUAGGAGGAACAGCAGGGGCGAAGGCGACUUACUGGACUGUAACUGACACUGAGGCACGAAAGCGUGGGGAGCAAACAGGAUUAGAUACCCUUGUAGUC